rnacentral:tRNA from 1 species
GUUUUUAUGGUGUAGUUGGUUAUCACGUCAGUCUAACACACUGAAGGUCUCCGGUUCAAGUCUAGGCAAAGCCA